rnacentral:tRNA from 1 species
GAGGGUAUAGCUAAGUGGUAAAGUGCAUGCCAAGCAUACAUGAAGUCUUGGGUUCAAUCCCCAGUACCGCCA